GGGCUCUUGGCACAGGGGUAGCGCGCACGCUUCGCAUGGCCGAUAUGCGUGAGGUCGUGGGUUCAAUUCCCACAGUGUCCA
rfam:Hypholoma sublateritium FD-334 SS-4 unplaced genomic scaffold scaffold_24, whole genome shotgun sequence.